UACGAAGGGGCUAGCGUUGCUCGGAAUCACUGGGCGUAAAGCGCACGUAGGCGGAUUGCUAAGUCAGGGGUGAAAUCCUGGAGCUCAACUCCAGAACUGCCCUUGAUACUGGCCGGUCUCGAGUCCGGGAGAGGUGAGUGGAACUGCGAGUGUAGAGGUGAAAUUCGUAGAUAUUCGCAAGAACACCAGUGGCGAAGGCGGACUCACCUGGCCCCGGGAACUGACGCUGAGGUGCGA
rnacentral:rRNA from 1 species